rnacentral:rRNA from 1 species
AACGAACGCUGGCGGCAGGCCUAACACAUGCAAGUCGAGCGAGGUAGCAAUACCUAGCGGCGGACGGGUGAGUAACGCGUGGGAACGUACCUUUUGCUACGGAAUAGCCCUGGGAAACUGGGAGUAAUACCGUAUACGCCCUGAGGGGGAAAGAUUUAUCGGCAAAAGAUCGGCCCGCGUUGGAUUAGGUAGUUGGUGGGGUAAUGGCCUACCAAGCCGACGAUCCAUAGCUGGUUUGAGAGGAUGAUCAGCCACACUGGGACUGAGACACGGCCCAGACUCCUACGGGAGGCAGCAGUGGGGAAUCUUAGACAAUGGGGGCAACCCUGAUCUAGCCAUGCCGCGUGAGUGAUGAAGGCCUUAGGGUUGUAAAGCUCUUUCAGUGGGGAAGAUAAUGACGGUACCCACAGAAGAAGCCCCGGCUAACUCCGUG